GGUUGUUCUAGAAUUCUGAAAACUAUCCACAGGUUACUGGGAUACAAGAAAGGCUCAAUGAGGGUGGAAUCUUAACAAAGUAUUUUUUUUUUUGAAGGUCCCUGUUGAAACAAUGGAUGCAAGUCUGUUAUCAAAAGGGUUGUGCUGAAAACUCCAAAAUAAUAAACAGACAUUUUAUAGGCAGAGAGUUCUGAGAACCAGGAAAAUUUGCUGUUCAUUAGGCUGUAGUGUAUUCAGUCUUUGGCGACAUCUUAUGGAUACUGCACUAGCUAGUUUUAUAGGGUCAUCAGAAACAAGGAAACUUCAACUGAGAAAAUGGCUCUAUCAAGAUUGUGUUGCAGGCAAGUCUGUAAAGCAGUUUCUUUAAUGAGUGAUUGGUAUCGACGGGGCCAGGCCAUUGUAGGUGGUACCAUCUUGGGCUGGUGCUCCUGGGUUAUAAAAAAAAAAAAGUAGAUUAAGCAAGUCACGAGGAACAAGUUGGUAAGCAGCAUGCCUCCAUGGCUUCUGCAUCAGCUUCUGGCCCAGACUCCUGACCAGUUGGAAUUCCCGCCUUGGCUUCCCUCAGUGAACGACUGAGAUUGACUGUGGGUCACGGAACAAAAGAAAGUGAAAUCACAGACCGUAUUGUGACUAACUGUGCCUGAAGAUGUUAUUAUGUACCCCAUUUUAUGGAAACCAAACUUGAAAAAGAUUAAGUACAACGAUCAAGGUUAAAGUGAGUGUU